CAUGUAGUGGGGGCACAGGGGGACAGACACCGCUUGGCCCGCCCUCACCUCUGAUGUCCCUGCGGCUGCCUGCAGGUGGUCCCCACUCACCACCACCGCCUGUGGGUGGUUGCCAUGCCCCACCAGCCUCAAGAGGAAUGAGGAUUCCACUCCUGUGUAUGAAGUAGUAAAUCACCUUGUCUCAGCCUGCAGCAUUACCAGUCUGCUGAUCUGAUACUAGGAAGCUGGGUAAAGCAAUUGAAUUGGCUUUUCAGCCCCAAAUGCUAUCUGAAGUCACAGGCAUAGCCAGGCAGCUCUAUGCUCAGCACAGCCACACAAUGCCAGCAGUGUGAAUUGCAGUAAUGCUAUCAGCUACCACUGUGGUCACAGCUGUUCCUGCACCCCUGCAUGAAGCUGCUGCCUCUGAUACCCUGACCCCUCCCUCCCACUCCCAUUACACUACUCUCUGAGGUUUCAUUCAGGUGCAGUUCAAAUAAUUGUAACACAGAUGAUGACGGUAUUAUGUGAUGUGAAACAUUAUGAUGUUAUCAUGUCAUGUAGCAUGUACUCUUUGCUUACAUCUUGGGAAGUAUUUCCUCUGCAUUCAGAAAGAGACCAAAUCUGAAUUUGAAAAUAAAAUUGACUUCAGUACCUUCUUUUGACAAAGCUAAAAAUAAACACUAGCUAUUGAUUAGUG